UACGGGGGGGGCAAGCGUUGUUCGGAAUUACUGGGCGUAAAGGGCUCGUAGGCGGCCAACUAAGUCGGACGUGAAAUCCCCAGGCUCAACCUGGGAACUGCGUCCGAUACUGGAUGGCUUGAAUUCGGGAGAGGGAUGCAGAAUUCCAGGUGUAGCGGUGAAAUGCGUAGAUAUCUGGAGGAAUACCGGUGGCGAAGGCGGCGUCCUGGACCGACAUUGACGCUGAUGAGCGAAAGCUAGGGGAGCAAACGGG
rnacentral:rRNA from 1 species